rnacentral:tRNA from 1 species
UAGCUCAGUUGGUUAGAGCACAACACUCAUAAUGUUGGGGUCACAGGUUCGAAUCC